rnacentral:lncRNA from 1 species
CUCGGCUGUGUUCAGAUGUACAGAGCUGCGCUGAGACCAAAGUCAUCGAGACACACAGUCUGAUUGAGAGGAAUAAGGUACUAGUUCAAAGCGUUGGAGGUGAGGAUGGGAAACUUUGAGGUUACAAAACCAGACUAUCUUUGUUAUGACCUUUUUAGCAGCGAUGCUUGCAAAGGAGAGAAAAGCACCAGCUGUGGCCCUCCGACACCAGGUCCUGGUCAAAGUGACACAGCCCACCCCUCAUCUGCUGUCACAGGCUGUCGCUUUCUAGGAUGAAGUCUUACGGACAGAUGAGAUGAA